rnacentral:lncRNA from 1 species
UUGUUUUGCUUCCUGAUCUUUACAAGCUUUUAUUUUUCCUGUUUUCUUGAAAAAAAGCUGAACUCAUCCCUCUCUGAAGUUCAUUUCACCAUUAAACAAGUAGAGGCAGAGAAUUGAUAUUUGGUUAGUUUUGGUUGUAAUUGUUUUGCUUCUUGAUCUUAACAAGCUUUUGUUAUUUCUUAUUUAUUUGAAAAAAAAUUGAACUUUUCACUUUCAUGAAAAUAGAGGGAGAAAGUUGAUUU